AUUGAACGCUGGCGGCAGGCCUAACACAUGCAAGUCGAACGGUAACAGAGAGCAGCUUGCUGCUUUGCUGACGAGUGGCGGACGGGUGAGUAAUGUCUGGGAAACUGCCUGAUGGAGGGGGAUAACUACUGGAAACGGUAGCUAAUACCGCAUAACGUCGCAAGACCAAAGAGGGGGACCUUCAGGCCUCUUGCCAUCGGAUGUGCCCAGAUGGGAUUAGCUAGUAGGUGGGGUAAAGGCUCACCUAGGCGACGAUCCCUAGCUGGUCUGAGAGGAUGACCAGCCACACUGGAACUGAGACACGGUCCAGACUCCUACGGGAGGCAGCAGUGGGGAAUAUUGCACAAUGGGCGCAAGCCUGAUGCAGCCAUGCCGCGUGUAUGAAGAAGGCCUUCGGGUUGUAAAGUACUUUCAGCGGGGAGGAAGGAAGUAAAGUUAAUACCUGUGCUCAUUGACGUUACCCGCAGAAGAAGCACCGGCUAACUCCGUG
rnacentral:rRNA from 1 species